GGGCGACCCGGGAACGGAUGGGCAUGCGUGACAUUAGCUAGUUGGCGGGGUAACGGCCCACCAAGGCGACGAUGUCUAGGGGUUCUGAGAGGAAGGUCCCCCACACUGGUACUGAGACACGGACCAGACUCCUACGGGAGGCAGCAGUGAGGAAUAUUGGUCAAUGGGCGAGAGCCUGAACCAGCCAAGUCGCGUGAGGGAAGACGGUUCUAAGGAUUGUAAACCUCUUUUGUCGGGGAGCAAGAAAGGGUAUGCAUACCCUACUGAGAGUACCCGAAGAAAAAGCAUCGGCUAACUCCGUGCCAGCAGCCGCGGUAAUACGGAGGAUGCGAGCGUUAUCCGGAUUUAUUGGGUUUAAAGGGUGCGCAGGCGGGCCGUCAAGUCAGCGGUAAAAUAGCGGGGCUCAACCCCGUCGAGCCGUUGAAACUGGCAGCCUAGAGUGGGCGAGAAGUAUGCGGAAUGCGUGGUGUAGCGGUGAAAUGCAUAGAUAUCACGCAGAACUCCGAUUGCGAAGGCAGCAUACCGGCGCCCGACUGACGCUCAUGCACGAAAGCGUGGGGAUCGAACAGGAUUAGAUACCCUGGUAGUCCACGCAGUAAACGAUGAAUACUAAUUGUUUCGGCGCGAAUGAGCGCCGAGUGAUA
rnacentral:rRNA from 1 species